rnacentral:rRNA from 1 species
UACGAAGGGGGCUAGCGUUGCUCGGAAUCACUGGGCGUAAAGCGCACGUAGGCGGCUUGCUAAGUCAGGGGUGAAAUCCUGGAGCUCAACUCCAGAACUGCCUUUGAUACUGGCGAGCUUCGAGUCCGGGAGAGGUGAGUGGAACUGCGAGUGUAGAGGUGAAUUCGUAGAUAUUCGCAAGAACACCAGUGGCGAAGGCGGCUCACUGGCCCGGUACUGACGCUGAGGUGCGAAAGCG